rnacentral:rRNA from 1 species
UGGGGAAUCUUCCGCAAUGGGCGAAAGCCUGACGGAGCAACGCCGCGUGAGUGAAGAAGGCCUUCGGGUCGUAAAGCUCUGUUGUCGGGGACGAAUGUUACUGCUUAAAAUAUAGGUAGUAAAUGACGGUACCUGACGAGGAAGCCACGGCUAACUACGUGCCAGCAGCCGCGGUAAUACGUAGGUGGCGAGCGUUGUCCGGAAUUAUUGGGCGUAAAGGGAGCGCAGGCGGGAGAGCAAGUCUAUCUUAAAAGUGCGGGGCUCAACCCCGUGAGGGGAUAGAAACUGUUCUUCUUGAGUGCAGGAGAGGAAAGCGGAAUUCCUAGUGUAGCGGUGAAAUGCGUAGAUAUUAGGAGGAACACCAGUGGCGAAGGCGGCUUUCUGGACUGUAACUGACGCUGAGGCUCGAAAGCCAGGGGAGCGAACGGGAUUAGAUACCCUGGUAGU